UUUGUAGUCCUGUUGUGUGGUGUAAAAAACGGUAUAAAGCGGUUCUAUUAAACUCUAAAGAGCAAAUUAAGAGUGUAUAUAUAUAUAAAAUAUCUAUAAAUCCGUACCGUUAUUUCUUAUCAUUAUCGUAAUUUGUGUACCUUAAAUUCGUUAUAACGUUUCAUUUAAUCGUUAAAUAUUAUAAAAAUUCUUAAAAAAUCGUAUCGUAUGUAGUAUAUGUAUGUGAGUGUUAAAAUCGUACGACUAUCAAAAUUUGGAUUGAGUCCUUGGAUUACUAUUAAUGACAUCAUUAUCGUUAAACAUAUUACUUUAUUGUGUUACAUAACCUCAAAUUUAACUUUGGAUUAUUCUCAAAUAAAAUAUGAGGCAAAAGUAAAAUGAAAAUGACCCAUAACUGCCAAUUUGGCACAAACUCGUAUUCGUACAACAAAUCUACAAUAAGAACUACUAACUUACGCCCAAGCCCCGUAAAAGUGAGGAUGGUGAUGAUGAAGUUAGUGAUGACUGCCGUGAUUUCAUUAUAAAUAAAUUAAAAGGAAUUAUGGAUACACCAAUGAACCGACAAUAGUCAGCAAGUCGCUAGAAAUAAUUAUUAAGCCUGCUCUGCAAUAAAAUAACGGGGAAAAACUCAUAAAAAUAGAUUAUAAACGACAGGAUAUACAAACCAAUAUAAACAGCAUAACAAGCAACCACCACCCACCAAGUGUUAAAAGCAAAAAAAAAAAAGGAUAUAAAAAGUAAAACGAAAUACCAAGUAAAUCCAAAGUUCCAUUUCAAUUUGUAAUUUGUUGAAAUCGAAUAACUUAAUAAACGUGUUAUAAAUAACAAAAUCAAAAGAAAGUAGACACUGGAAAAAAAGCAACGUGUGAACGAAUGAAAGUGUUAAAAUUAUCGUGUGAAACGUACGCCAAAGUUCUGUAGUUUAAGUUAAAUUUUCAAAAUUGUAUAUGCGCUAAAAACGACCACCCGCAUUGAAUCCUUAUAAACCAAAAAAAACAACAUCUACAACAACCAACCACAAAAGUACAAAAUCAUUUAAAGUCACAACAAAAAGUUCUAACUUUUCCAACAACAUGAAGGGUUUAACGGCGUUUAAGGAAAAAGCCACAG